CUAUGCAAUUCCCUUUAAAUAUCAUUACUCAGAAUGUGAAGAUAAAUCACAAAUAUUGAAGUCUCUUUUUCUACCCCAACAACAACUACCACCAAUUCCAUAUGGCUUUGAUAGGAAAACUUUGUCACAGUGAAUUGGAAUACUCCUUCACAAUAGUAAAGCUAUCUGAACAGAAGUUUCCAGAAAUUGAUCCCACAUUUAUAAUUGCUCCUCUAAUGUUGUUCUUGAGGUGGGUUACUAUAUGAAUGACAAUUUUAGCAUCCUCAACAUCAAAAAUAUAGUGGAUAUCGAGCAAUUGCCCUUUUACCAUAGCAGGUUUUGGGGCGUAGACAACAUUAUGGUUUUCGACCUCGGUCUAACAAAUGUUGAACUAUCUCAAACAAAAUUGAGAUUAGAGGAGGACUUUGCUGAACUUUUAAAAGAUUACAACUACAAUUGUCUCAACUUGUGCUGUGAUAAUGGUACGAGGAUAAUCCUGGAAUUAGCAUACAUAAACACUUCAUACCCAACAAAGCUAGGACCCGACUGGGAAGAAUUCUGUCAAACCAAUAUGUUCAAAGUUGGUGGCACAAUUAGGUUUAGAUUUGAUAUCAGGUCUCCAAAAAAAAAUGUCAUGUCUAUAAAAUCCAUUAAUUUAUCAAAUUUGUCUUAA